ACGAACGCUGGCGGCGUGCUUAACCCAUGCAAGUCGAACGGAAAGGCCCUGCUUUUGUGGGGUGCUCGAGUGGCGAACGGGUGAGUAACACGUGAGUAACCUGCCCUUGACUUUGGGAUAACUUCAGGAAACUGGGGCUAAUACCGGAUAGGAGCUCCUGCUGCAUGGUUGGGGUUGGAAAGUUUCGGCGGUUGGGGAUGGACUCGCGGCUUAUCAGCUUGUUGGUGGGGUAGUGGCUUACCAAGGCUUUGACGGGUAGCCGGCCUGAGAGGGUGACCGGCCACAUUGGGACUGAGAUACGGCCCAGACUCCUACGGGAGGCAGCAGUGGGGAAUAUUGCACAAUGGGCGGAAGCCUGAUGCAGCAACGCCGCGUGCGGGAUGACGGCCUUCGGGUUGUAAACCGCUUUCGCCUGUGACGAAGCGUGAGUGACGGUAAUGGGUAAAGAAGCACCGGCUAACUACGUG
rnacentral:rRNA from 1 species